GACGAACGCUGACGGUGUGCUUUAGACAUGCAAGUCGAACGCGAAAGCCCUUCGGGGUUAGUAGAGUGGCGAACGGGUGAGUAACACGUGGGCAAUCUGCCCCUCGCAGGGGGACAACCGGAGGAAACUCCGGCUAAUACCCCGUACGCUUGCGGAACCGCAUGGUACCGCAAGGAAAGGUAGCUUCGGCCAUCCGGCGAGGGAUGAGCCCGCGGUGCAUUAGCUAGUUGGUGGGGUAACGGCCCACCAAGGCGACGAUGCAUAGCUGGUCUGAGAGGAUGAUCAGCCACACUGGGACUGAGACACGGCCCAGACUCCUACGGGAGGCAGCAGUCGGGAAUCUUGCGCAAUGGGCGAAAGCCUGACGCAGCAACACCGUGUGAGCGACGAAGGCCU
rnacentral:rRNA from 1 species